GAUGAAGAACGUAGCGAAAUGCGAUACGUAAUGUGAUUUGCAGAAUUCAGUGAAUCAUCGAAUCUUUGAACGCAUAUUGCGCUCUCUGGUAUUCCGGAGAGCAUGCUUGUUUGAGUAUCAGUAAACACCUCAACUUCCAUAUCUUUUUUGAAAUGGGAGUUGGACUUGAGUGAUCCCAACGCUUUUCCUCACCGAAAAGUGGCGGGUUACUUGAAAUGCAGGUGCAGCUGGACUUUUCUCUGAGCUAUAAGCAUAUCUAUUUAGUCUGCCUAAAAAACAGAUUAUUACCUUUGCUGCAGCUAACAUAAAGGAGAUUAGUUCUUGUGCUGACUGAUGCAGGAUUCACAAAGACAGGCUUCGGCCGACUUUGUAAACUCGAUCUCAAAUCAAGUAAGACUACCCGCUGAACUUAAGCAUAUCAAUAAGCGGAGGA
rnacentral:misc_RNA from 1 species